rnacentral:sRNA from 1 species
GACACUCAUCGCUCCUCGGCUGGACACGAACUUGUGGAUAGCCCCUUGGAACCUCGUGAUUCUCACGAUUUCUUGGAUCUUUCGACUCCACAGGAACUUCAAGACGUCGGACGAGUUGCUCGACAAGGUAUGUUCACAUUGUACAUGUCUUGUGCUCUUGAAGCUGGCAUGUUUGAGCUGAAGCCUUGUGCUCGUGCUAAAUCUGAGGACCUGUGGAGAUGCUUCAGGAUCACAGAUUCUUGGAGUUUAGAGCUUCAGGGCUUCGGUUUCUGGGCUGGCUUGCUCCUGGGAAUGUAGCAUCUCGCAAGAGCUUCUUAUACCAGUGCACAAUAUCCUCACAUAUCCCUUGUCCUUUUCAGAACAAACCUAUGAUGUGGACACCCCCAGCUCGGUUGAAUCUUUGGAUAUCCCCUCGGACACGUCCAACAACGCCGGAAGAGUUGCUCGACAAG